rnacentral:lncRNA from 1 species
AUGCCGGAGAAGGUCUGUCUAGCGGCACUUUGUCUCCCCUUUUUUGACCUCGGGUGUGCUCGAGAAGCCCUGGAGAGGAAAUUUGCCUUAAACGCUGAGGAACUUCGGGGCGGAGCGGGGGUUGCGGGGCGGAGCGGGGGGCGGAGCGGGCAGGACCGAAUUGGCCCUGAGGCCCGGAAAGGCCUGUCUGGCGGCACUUUGUCUCCCCUUGAGCUUUUUUGCCUCGGGUGUGCUCGAGAAGCCCUGGAGAGGAAAUUUGCCUUAAACGCUGAGGAACUUCGGGGCGGAGCGGGGGUUGCGGGGCGGAGCGGGCAGGACCGAAUUGGCCCUGAGGCCCGGAAAGGCCUGUCUGGCGGCACUUUGUCUCCCCUUGAGCUUUUUUGCCUCGGGUGUGCUCGAGAAGCCCUGGAGAGGAAAUUUGACUUAAACGCUGAGGAACUUCGGGGCGGAGCGGGGGUUGCGGGGCGGAGCGGGCAGGACCGAAUUGGCCCUGAGGCCCGGAAAGGCCUGUCUGGCGGCACUUUGUCUCCCCUUGAGCUUUUUUGCCUCGGGUGUGCUCGAGAAGCCCUGGAGAGGAAAUUUGACUUAAACGCUGAGGAACUUCGGGGCGGAGCGGGGGUUGCGGGGCGGAGCGGGCAGGACCGAAUUGGCCCUGAGGCCCGGAAAGGCCUGUCUGGCGGCACUUUGUCUCCCCUUGAGCUUUUUUGCCUCGGGUGUGCUCGAGAAGCCCUGGAGAGGAAAUUUGCCUUAAACGCUGAGGAACUUCGGGGCGGAGCGGGGGUUGCGGGGCGGAGCGGGGGGCGGAGCGGGCAGGACCGAAUUGGCCCUGAGGCCCGGAAAGGCCUGUCUGGCGGCACUUUGUCUCCCCUUGAGCUUUUUUGCCUCGGGUGUGCUCGAGAAGCCCUGGAGAGGAAAUUUGACUUAAACGCUGAGGAACUUCGGGGCGGAGCGGGGGUUGCGGGGCGGAGCGGGCAGGACCGAAUUGGCCCUGAGGCCCGGAAAGGCCUGUCUGGCGGCACUUUGUCUCCCCUUGAGCUUUUUUGCCUCGGGUGUGCUCGAGAAGCCCUGGAGAGGAAAUUUGCCUUAAACGCUGAGGAACUUCGGGGCGGAGCGGGGGUUGCGGGGCGGAGCGGGGGUUGCGGGGCGGAGCGGGGGGCGGAGCGGGCAGGACCGAAUUGGCCCUGA